rnacentral:rRNA from 1 species
AUUGAACGCUGGCGGCAGGCCUAACACAUGCAAGUCGAGCGGAUGAAGGGAGCUUGCUCCUGGAUUCAGCUGCGGACGGGUGAGUAAUGCCUAGGAAGCUGCCUGGUCGUGGGGGAUAACGUCCGGAAAGGGGCGCUAAUACCGCAUACGACCAGAUGGUGAAAGUGGGGGAUCUUCGGAGCACACGGUAUUAGAUGAGCCUAGGACGGAUUAGCUAGUUGGUGGGGUAAAGGCCUACCAAGGCGACGAUCCGUAACUGGUCUGAGAGGAUGAUCAGUCACACUGGAACUGAGACACGGUCCAGACUCCUACGGGAGGCAGCAGUAGGGAAUAUUCGACAAUGGGCGAAAGCCUGAUCCAGCCAUGCCGCGUGAGUGAAGAAGGUCUUCGGAUUGUAAAGCACUUUAAGUUGGGAGGAACAGCAGUGUGUUAAUACCUUGCUGUUUUGACGUUACCAACAGAAUAAGCCCCGGCUAACUUCGUG